GCUGUGGUGGCCGAGUGGUUAAGGCGAUUGACUUAAGAUCAAUUGGGCACUGCCCGCGCAGGUUCGAAUCCUGUCCACAGCG